rnacentral:lncRNA from 1 species
UGGGAUCAUAGGUCUUAUCGUCUGUUCGAUUUAUUUUCAGAAAUCGAUCUUUCAAACGUUCGUUGUAGUUAAUAUAAACCAACUUAUGCAACCGAUCAACUUCCAAACGAUUUCUUCUUUUGGCGUGAAUCUGAUGAAAAAUAAAUAAUUUGAAAUUUCAUUUACAUCACAGAAGCAUACUUGAUUUUGUAUUCAAAGUCGCAAGUACUUACAAAAUCAAAAGUGCUCCAGUUUCUCUCACAACUAGAAGCUGUCGUAGUAAGAUUUAUGAUCCUCGUUGCCAACAACAUCAAUUCCGGAGUUGACACCCCAAAGUUAGACCACCAAUUUACUGAAAUCAAACAUAGUGAUUAGUGAGUGACACCCCUAACUGCCUAAGUAAGAUUUUUAUAAUUCAAUCUUAAAUUCUGAAAUCACUUACUAGGAUCCGUUGUUGGAAGCGUGUCGAUGGCUACCUUCAUUGAGAAGUCACCUGUUUUAUUCUUGUAACAAAUGAGUUGUUCCAUGAUUUGUGAAUGCUCUUCAAGAGGUGUCAUUCUUAGCAUACAAUCUCUGAAAUCUUUUUUGUAUCUUAGUGCCUUUAUAAGCCCUUCUCUAGAUCUAUUUCAAAAGUAAACAAUUAGUUUUUGAAAGUUGAAACCUUAAAAAAAAAAAGGUAAAAAACUUACCCCUCCUUCAAAUCGUAGUAAAAAUGGGGGUUUAGAAAUGCACCAGUUCCAAACAAAGGCUUCUGAAAAUGUUUGUCCCAACGCUUGGUGAAAAUCGCCUUUAGUUUAGUCAACAUCACCGGUUUACUUGCGAAGUGAGUUUCAAUUCUUUUUCUUGCAACUUCCAAACGAGGAAUGACCUCUGCCAUUAAUGGUUUACUAUCUUCAUCAACCAAUCUCAACAAAAUCACCAAUGGUUCAGAAGUUGUCAUACAAUCAUCUAAAUUUUUCCAAAAAAUACCGUUGAAGAAAUGACCAUGAAUCUGUUGUCCAAUCCCAACAUCAAUCCAUUUACGCCAAUCUAAUGCACUUAAGGCAUCUCGAUGUUUCUUAAUGCUCUGCAAGGUGAGAAAUGAUGUAGCAAAUCGAGUAACCCCAUAACGGACUAGCUCUCUAUUGUUGGACUUUUUCAAAAACUCGCAAUGUAUCACUGAAUGAUUGUAAAUGUAGUUUGCAUAGUUUAAAAAGCGACGCUUAAAGUGUUGCUUUUUUAGCUUUAAGCGGGAAAGCGCUCCUCUAGGAGCAGGAGCGCUUUCCCAAUCGCUUUAUCUGGUCGGGUUAUGGGGUCGGGUCGGGUUACUGGGUUGGGUCAAACCAUUACUUAUGUGAAAUAACUUAAACUAUUUUAAUUUCCCUUCCUACCCCUCCAAUUUCUAUCUAACUAUAUAAACCCAAUACCCUUCUAAUAAAACCCUAAUUUCCUUUAUCACUCUCACUUUUAUUUCUUCUAAAACCCUAGAGCCGUCGGCAGACCUUGCCGAAGCCGUACCUGACCUCGCCGGAGUCGCCGCCUGACCUAGUUUUUCUCCUCCGAUCUUCACGUCUACUAGUGGUAUGAAUGUCUUCAACUUUUCCAUCAAUUUCUUUACUUGUAGACCGUCUGAAAAAGGGAUAAAAAGAUGGCCGGAAUCCGGGCUGUUUUGGCCGGAUUCCGCCCAUCCUCGAAUUUUUUUAUUAUUUUUAUUUUUAAUCUCAUGCCCUGUAGGAACAUGUAGUUGGAUUUCAGACCAUUUUUAAAUAGGUUUGCCGGAUUCCAGUCAAAACAGGUCGGAAUCCGGCCAACCAAUUUUUUUUUUAAUUUUUUUUUGACAGGCCGAUGAUGUCCGACGACGAGCACGUCGUCGCAGAAUGCGAUCUUAAUUAUACCAGCAGCGACGACGACGCUACGCAAUGUGCUUCGGAAGAAGAAAUACCGACGACGCCGCCUCCUCCACCACCUUCAGCAGUAGCUGAUCCUCCGGCCGUGGAUGAGCAAGCAUUAGUAUACCACCAUUCCAUUGAUCCGGAAUGGUUGACAGACAAAGCAAGACGACCGUCUAGUACAGAUCCCGGAUGGAAGUAUGGGAUCCUUGAUGACCCAACGAAAAAUAAGUAUGCAACAAAAUGCUUAUUUUGCGGUCUAGUCUACAACGGAGGAGUGGCAAGGUUGAAGACGCAUUUGAUCGGCGUGUCAAAUGCGAAAAGAACGUCACGAAAUGUCUGAAGGUUCCAUACCAUGUGUUUCGAGAGUUAGUCGAGCAUAUGAACUCGAAGAAGCCAAUGACACCAAUUAUUGACGUUGAUCUGCCUACGAAAGAAUCGAAGAAAAGAAAGAUAUCAAGUGUAGUGGAAUCCACAUCCACCGCGGGUUCGGUAAAGGUAUACAGAUCGUUGGGUUUAGAAAAAAGACAAACUAUUGAAAACAUCGUUCGUGAACGACGAACCAAAAAAAAAACAAACUGUAAUGGAGGAUCAUUUGAAGAAACAAGAAAGGGAAGACGUACACGAUUACGUCGCCAAAUUCUUCUACGAGAACUCAAUUGCAUUCAAUGUGGUGCUUAGUCAAUCAUUUGAUGUAAUAAAAUUAUCGUUCUCCAUUCCCUUCAAUAAUCAAUACAAUUACAAUUGUUUUAUUUAAUUGUAGUGUAUGGCUGAAGCGAUUGGAAGGUAUGGUAGAAACUAUAGAGGACCAACUCCUUAUGGUCUUUCAACGUCUUUACUGAACAAAGAAAAGAAGUCUAUAGAUUCCAUUAGAAAGAAACAUGAGGAAGUUUGGCUUGAAAGUGGUUGUACCCUAAUGUCCGAUGGAUGGACGGAUCGUCGAAGGAGAAAUAUUAUCAACUUUUUGGUAAAUUCUGUUGCGGGAACCUUCUACUUGCAUUCAAUCGACGCAUCUAGCCAAGAUAAAACGACUGAGUUUAUUGCAGACGGUCUAGAGAAUGCAAUGAAAAUAAUUGGACCUCAGCACGUCGUGCAGGUACAUAAUUAUUGAAUUCAUCUCCAUCUUUCAUUUCUUUAAUUUGAAACAAUUUGAAAUUUUCAGAUUUGCACGGAUAACGCUUCAAACUAUGUUCGUGCGGGAAAACUUUUAAUGGAGAAAUACGAUCAUCUAUUUUGGACACCGUGUGCCGCACAUGUCAUGGAUCUUAUUCUUGAGGACAUAGGAAAGAUACCGCAAUACAAGAUUUGUAUCAGAAAUGCUGUGAAAAUCACUAAUCACGUGUACAACCAUGCAACCCUUUACAGCAAAUGGUUAGAGGCUACGAAAGGAAAAGAAUUGGGUAGGCCGGGGGUCACUAGAUUUGCCACCUCGUACCUUACAUUGAAGAGCUUGCACGAACAAUGUGAAGUUCUGAGGACAUUUAAUUGGCGUCCGUGGGUGGGGAAAGGAGAUGGUCUACAUGUUGCAGAUUUAGUUGUCAAGACUCGCUUCUGGAUGACUGUAGAAGAUUGUUUAAAAGCUUCUGAACCAAUACUUGUGGUUUUGAGAAUGGUAGACAGUGACUUGAAACCUAAUUUGUCAUCUCUAGCGGCCGCAUUUCUAAAGGCAAAGGAUGCAAUAAAGGCAAACUUUCAGAACAUUGAACGUGACUAUUUGCCAAUUUUUAAAAUAUUAAAAACUCGUUGGGCCAAGCACUUUCAGUCUUCAUUAUUCAAAGCAGCAACAUUCCUCAAUCCAGGAGUUUACUACAAGAUAAGAAGGUAAUGAAAUUUUCAUUCAUUAGCGAUAGUUAUGAGUUACCUAUCAAUAAAUUCAUUCUCUAUCGAUUGUAGUUCUUGCUCUGCUGAAGACAUUGCGUCGUACGAUGAAGCUUUUCAAGAUUGCAUGCAGAAGAUGAUCGUUGACGAUGAAGUCAGAAUGAAGGUUAUUAAUGAUAGUCGCUUGUACAAGAGUAAAGGUGGAAGAUUUGGUUUGACAACUGCUCAAUUGGGAGUUGACACCUGCGAACCAAGUAACCAAUCGAAAACUUUUAUCUUUUGUUUGACAAUUACUCAUUUUUGACAAGUGACGAUUUUCUUUGCAGUAUUUUGGUGGGAUGCUUAUGGAACUUCCACCAUACAAUUACAAAAAUAUGCAAUGCGAAUCUUGGCUUUGUGUGCCUCUACUUCAAGUUGUGAGAGAAAUUGGAGCUUAUUUGAACAUGUAAGACCUCACUUGUCAUUUGAACAAGUUAUUAGAUCAUUACCCAAACCCUAACUUACCAUUUACAGAUACAUUCGAGGAAAAGGAAUCAAUUGAAUACAAAAAAAUUGGAUCUUUUGGUGUACAUAACGUACAACCGAAAAUUAAAUGAUCGUAUUGAACGACACCGACUCGUGGAAUUGGAAACAUCUAUCAAGUACGAUCUAAUAAGAGUCGAUACAAUAAACUUCAAUAUUGAGUGGCUGACAGGCAUCGAAGGGGCAUGCGACGAGUUCGUCUACACUGAGGCAGAUGGACUAACAUGGGCGCAAGUGGAGGAAGCUUCAGGUGCUGCUGAACAACCGGGACCGUCUACAAGGAGUGGGCAAACCCGUGGAUAUUCAUAUCAGAAACAGAGAACUGCAUUAAGAGAUAUGGGAACUGAAUCCCAAUUUCAUCAUUGCAUGAAUGAAAUGGAAGAAUUUUUUAGAGAUAAUAUAGAUAUUGGUGCUCGUCUAGAUGAUUAGGUUAUAUGACUUGUAAAUGUUUUUCAAAUAAUUUGGAUGAUGUCUUGAAUAAUUACAGGUUUAUAUAUAUUUUAUGUUUUAUCAUAUGUUUACAGGUUAAAAAAAAAAGUAUAUAAACAUGGGUAUAUAUGCAAUUUUUAAAAAAAAUUACAUUUAUUUACAAAAAUGCCAUUAUCGUUUUUUCAGCUUUAAGCGCGCUAAAGCGCUCAAAGCUGAAAAAGCGCUCAAUGGAAAAGUUGAGCGCUUUAUAGCUUUUUGAACAAUGGUAGUUUGUGAUCUUACGACCCAUCACAAUAGCAUUUUUCAGAGAGCUAAUCUUUUCAAUGUCUUCUAACAUCAAAUCAAUACAGUGGGCGACACAAGGGGUCCAAUACAAAUGAUCAUAUUUCUCCAUUAGUUUCUCCCCAGCUUUAACGUAGUUGCUCGCAUUAUCUGUACAAAUUUGAACAUUUUUGACUCCUAUCCUUUGCAUCGCUUUAUCUAAGGUAGAUGCAAUGUAAUCGGCAGUUUUCGUUUCGGCUGAAGCGUCAAUAGAGUAUAAAUAAAAUGAAUCCUUGCUUGAAUUCACUAUAAAGUUGAUAAUUGAUCUUCCCCUCUUAUCCGUCCAGCCAUCAGACAUGAGUGAACAACCAGAUAGACGCCAACAUUUUUCAUGGUCUUUCUUCAUUUCAUCAAUUUCUGUAACCACACCUUCUAGAAGAGAGCCGCGUAAUCUACUGAUAGUUGGAGGUGUAUAACCCCAUCCAUACCUUCCAACAGCUUCCAACAUAACGUGGAAAUCGAAACAAUCUCGUACAUUGAAAGGGAUGCCGACGUUGUAGAAGAAUUUCGCCACACAGAUAUCAACAAUAAGCCUUUCCUCUUUUUUCAACUGCUCAACAAUUAGUGGUUGUUUUGCUCCCAUUCUAGAUCUCACAAUGUCACUUAAUUUCUGUCUUUCUUUCAAAGACAAUGCACCUACGGCCGCGUUGAUCGAACGGUUCGAACCUGAUGAUGAACCUAAUGACGGCUUCACAAUAGUUGACNNNNNNNNNNNNNNNNNNNNNNNNNNNNNNNNNNNNNNNNNNNNNNNNNNNNNNNNNNNNNNNNNNNNNNNNNNNNNNNNNNNNNNNNNNNNNNNNNNNNNNNNNNNNNNNNNNNNNNNNNNNNNNNNNNNNNNNNNNNNNNNNNNNNNNNNNNNNNNNNNNNNNNNNNNNNNNNNNNNNNNNNNNNNNNNNNNNNNNNNNNNNNNNNNNNNNNNNNNNNNNNNNNNNNNNNNNNNNNNNNNNNNNNNNNNNNNNNNNNNNNNNNNNNNNNNNNNNNNNNNNNNNNNNNNNNNNNNNNNNNNNNNNNNNNNNNNNNNNNNNNNNNNNNNNNNNNNNNNNNNNNNNNNNNNNNNNNNNNNNNNNNNNNNNNNNNNNNNNNNNNNNNNNNNNNNNNNNNNNNNNNNNNNNNNNNNNNNNNNNNNNNNNNNNNNNNNNNNNNNUCUUCUUCAUGAUCCAUGGUUUGAAUUUGUUCUUAACUCUGAAAUUUAAGAAAACAAAUUCAGAUAUUAAUAUGUGAAAUUUAAGAAAAAAAAUUCAGAUGUUAGCUCCCGAUUUAAUUUAACACUCCACCGACUGGAACACUCUGAAUUCCAGAUUUAAUUCCAGAUCAAAUACCUAACUCUGAAAAUUCGCCCACUCCACUCUGAAAUACCUAACUUUGUGUAUUAAAGAGAGAAACUGGUAAUGAGGUAAUCUAUAACCAGUAAUCAAUCACCAACAAGCAACAACAUCUGUGCUCUCUCAAUCGAUCUGUCUAUUCUAAAUCCAAUGAAAUGAGCACACACCAAUCUUUUCCUUUCUCAAUUCGAUGAGCUCAUAGCUAUUUUAAUUUUCAGACUGGAACUACUAGAGAAUUUUAAUUGCUAUCAGCCAGUACCUCACAAGUGACAGGUAUACUUGUAAUACUUGAAAUAGCUAUGAGCUAUUUCUGGAAAUACUUGAUAUCGCAGAAGUUGAAAUCGCAGAGCAGCGGCCAGGAAAAACUCACGGCCAGGAAACGCGAUUUCUGAAAAUCGCGGAAGCAGCGGCGAUCCUUCGUGAUAGGCGAUCCUUUUUCCUUCGUCGAUCGUCGAUUAGGAUUUUCAGUAGUUUUUUUGUUACUCGUCGAUAGUCGAUUAGGAUCGUCGUUGUAAACUGAUUUAGGAUUUAGGGUUUUUUUUUCAGUAUUUUCUUAUUAGUUUUUAGAUUUAGAAAUAUUUUUUAUUUAAUUAGGUAUUUUUUAUAAGGUCUUUAAGUUGUAAAAAAAUAAUAUAAUUCAUUUAAUUAUUUCAAUUUUAAUAUUUUGUACUUGGGUAAAUGGAUCGGGUUUAGCCGGAUCCGACCCGGAUCCGGCUAAGCCACAUAAUAUGUGACCCCUCAAAUAUGCGAUGGGGGCUUAGCGCCUGGUCGCAUAUGCGCUCGCAUACGCAUAUGCGACAAAUCAAAAACCUUGUGUCUAACAACCGUUAUCUCAUUGUAAUAAUGUAUAUAUAAGGAACGUGAAUGAAUGAGAAUAAUGCAAUCUGUUUUUAUAUAAUCCUCACGAUAUAUAAUAAUAGUGUACAUAGAUAAGAAUAUCGUGUGGUCACCUGGCCGCAUAGAAAACCUUUCUCUUAUCAAUAUAUCUGGUCAAGAAUCAAGAUUUACUUUAAUUUUUAGUUACCUCUGCACAUUAAUCUUUGCACUACUACUCUCUAUAUGGUAUAACUUCAAAGUGCAAAGUGAAUAAGUCCACUGGCAUGCUCUUAUUUACUGCCUCUAACUCUCUUAAAUUUUUCGUCACAUUUUAUUUUGCAAAUUGUUUAUUUUAGCCCCAUAUCCCAAUGCUGCCUAGGUAAAAAUGAAAGCAUAACUAGGCACCAAUUAUUUCAACCGAUUAAGCAUAAUUCUCCUGAAAUACUCUAACUCUAAUUUUAAUCAUCCUCUUUAUCAAAAAUAAUAAUUUUAAUCAUCCAAUUUAUUAUAAAACAUAAUGAAUAUUUUUGCAGAAAUUUGUACCGAAAUCCCAUUCUUUCCUGUUUGUGCCAAAAGUACCAACCAAAGCUAAAAAAUAGCUAAUUUAACUAGCCAGUUUUGGCCAACUACAUAUAAAUACAUAUGAAUUAAAUCCUGUUUUAUAUUCAUAUAUCAUAUAAAAGUUAUAAAACUGUGGAUAGAGGAAGGUGGAGAAGAGGAAGUUAGGUCACUGGAAGGUUCAUUCCUUAAUGUCAAUGGAAGGAGACAAGUUGAUCGAUGGAGAAGGAGAAGGAGAGAGAAGAGAAAAAUAAAAUAGGGGUGGUGCUGUAGUGGAAACUAGGGUUUUCUAAAUUAGAUGAAUGGAAUUAGAAUUAUCAGUUACAGAAAAUAACAAUUCAGUUGUUUGACCACACUAGUGUCAACAUCAGAUGCAUCUAUUGCAGAAAACAAUAAUCCUGUGUUUUUGUUGGACAUGGUAGUGUUUUUUCUUUAGCACAUAUUAUUCCAAAUUUUCUUCCCAUGUUAUUUUGUUAUUUUUUUAGCACAUUGUAGACUUGUAGUGUUUCAUUUGACGUUUAUGUUUGCUAAACUUCUUCAACAGUUGAGAUUGUUUAUAUUUUAUCGUGUUUUGUUCAUGAAAGUACUUCAAAAUAGCUUUGACAGUUCUUUAUAAUAUGAUCAGAACAAAGGGACAGAAAUUGAAGCUGGAGCAACUCCUUAGGAACUCAAACGGUUACAAAAAAGCUAAGUUGGUGAAAUCUCAAACCCCUUCGGAAGAAAUUUGAAAUUUUAGAUUUUGUAUCAGAUUUAGACGAAAGGCAAUUCUAAUUUGAAACCACAUCAAAAUCUAAGCUUCCAUAGGUUUGUAGUUUGAACCAUUUUGGUGAAAUGAUUUUCAUUGUAUCAAUAAUGAUGUUUUGAUAUAUCUAUGAUUUUGACUAGAAUCUCAUUAAUAUUCUAUGAUUAUUUCUGCAUAGACGUAUUUUUUAUUCAAAGUUGUACUCUAACAAAUUCCCUUUGCUGGGUUGCUACUUGUUAGAUAGUUAUUUUGAUAUCUCAUCUGAAACUAGUUUAGUUUUAAUAUUUUAUCUUUUAAUUACAUUUACAUUUUACAGUUAAUUUUCCAAAGAAGCAUUGAAAUAUAGAAUGCCAUCAAAUAAACAUCAAGAAGUUUUUGAUCCUCGAUUUCUAAACUUCAGUUGGUUGUAACUUGUAAGCUAAGAUUGGAGAAUGAGAGAAAUAGGUUUGUGAAAUUGUG